UACGUAGGGUGCAAGCGUUGUCCGGAAUUAUUGGGCGUAAAGAGCUCGUAGGCGGUUUGUCGCGUCGGCUGUGAAAACCUGGGGCUCAACCCCGGGCCUGCAGCCGAUACGGGCAAACUAGAAUUCGGUAGGGGAGACUGGAAUUCCUGGUGUAGCGGUGAAAUGCGCAGAUAUCAGGAGGAACACCGGUGGCGAAGGCGGGUCUCUGGGCCGAUAUUGACGCUGAGGAGCGAAAGCGUGGGAGCAAACAGG
rnacentral:rRNA from 1 species